GACAGAGGGGGCAAGCGUUGCUCGGAAUUACUGGGCGUAAAGGGCGCGUAGGCGGGAUGGCAAGUCGGUCGUGAAAUCCCUCGGCUCAACCGAGGAACGUCGAUCGAUACUGCUGUUCUUGAGGAUUGCAGAGGAGACUGGAAUUCCCGGUGUAGCGGUGAAAUGCGUAGAUAUCUGGAGGAACACCGGUGGCGAAGGCGGCAUCCUGGACCGAUACUGACGCUGAGGAGCGAAAGCCAGGGGAGCAAACGGG
rnacentral:rRNA from 1 species